CAUUUAUACACUCGAUGGAAUAAAACGUGAAAAGGAAACGAGAAACCAUGUUUUCUAGAUGCUUCUAACCUUACUUAAAUACUCCAUCAACUACUCCCCUGAACCCGUUGCAUUUCCAAUUUAAUAAAAACCCAAGUUAAUAUCAUUUCUGCUGCUUUGAAGCGUCUGCUCAAAUUUUGAAGGUUGAUCUUAAGCAAACAAAUUAUAAUCCAAGCUCAAUCAGCUAACGCGGGAACCAGAGAGAUGGAGAUCGUGAAAGGGCUCAAGCCAGGGCAAAUCACAAGACCAAGCAGCCUAAGAAUGAUGGAUUAACUCCUGAACAAAGACGAGAAAGGGAUGCAAAGGCACUUCAAGAAAAGGCGGCAAGGAAAGCAGCACAGGCAGCAGGUGGAGGUAAUUUCGAGAAAUCGGAAAGUUAUAAGAUCAAGAAGAAAUUGUAGGGAGGUUGUUUAAGUAGAUUAGGUGAAGGGAAUUAAUCUUGUGGGUGAAUCUGGCAUUGGUUAUGGAUUCUUGAGGUCAUUGUUUAUCAUGUCAUUUCAAGUGUCUGAAACUUUUUAUUCUCAGUAGUUCUUGUCUGGCAUGUAUGUUUGGCUUUUGGAACUUUAACUUGUCUGAUCUUCAAUGAAAAUUCCUGUUGUGAUUAAUCUUACUGGUUUCUCUC